AAAAGGUGGCUAUGCUACCGCUUUUGGAUGGGCCCGCGGCGCAUUAGCUAGUUGGUGGGGUAAAGGCUUACCAAGGCAAUGAUGCGUAGCCGAACUGAGAGGUUGAUCGGCCACAUUGGGACUGAGACACGGCCCAAACUCCUACGGGAGGCAGCAGUAGGGAAUCUUCCACAAUGGGCGAAAGCCUGAUGGAGCAACGCCGCGUGGGUGAAGAAGGUCUUCGGAUCGUAAAAUCCUGUUGUUAGAGAAGAAAGUGCGUGAGAGUAACUGUUCACGUUUCGACGGUAUCUAACCAGAAAGCCACGGCUAACUACGUGCCAGCAGCCGCGGUAAUACGUAGGUGGCAAGCGUUAUCCGGAUUUAUUGGGCGUAAAGGGAACGCAGGCGGUCUUUUAAGUCUGAUGUGAAAGCCUUCGGCUUAACCGGAGUAGUGCAUUGGAAACUGGGAGACUUGAGUGCAGAAGAGGAGAGUGGAACUCCAUGUGUAGCGGUGAAAUGCGUAGAUAUAUGGAAGAACACCAGUGGCGAAAGCGGCUCUCUGGUCUGUAACUGACGCUGAGGUUCGAAAGCGUGGGUAGCAAACAGGAUUAGAUACCCUGGUAGUCCACGCCGUAAACGAUGAAUGCUAAGUGUUGGAGGGUUUCCGCCCUUCA
rnacentral:rRNA from 1 species